CUGGAUCUAGGUGGUGGGGGUGUCCAGUACAGCAUUCACAUCAACAUGUGCAAGGAACCAGGUCCAAGUCUCAGGUUCCCACCUGCAGUUAUCUCCAGAGUUCACUGCUUUAAGCUGAUUUUUUUCAAAUAGAGACAGAAGCCAAGAGACAACGGAAGAGAGGGAAAGACACCACAACACAGAGGCUUCCCUUAAAUGUGAUGGAAGCCUGACUCAAUCCCGGGUUGUGAACCUGACAGAGCAGGCAAUAGCAUCCAGGAGAACUACCUUGCUGGCCCCAAAUAUGCUAAUUUUAAAAUGCUAAACUACACUCAAGUUGUCGAUGUUUGAAAGUGCACUCUGUUGGUCCAUAAUUGUUUAUUAGCAACUCAACAGACAGCACUACUCUGAUGUCUGUCCUGAUCCACACACUUGACAAUAGUCUUCAUCCAAAGGGAGAAAAUAUUGGCGAUGACCCGCAACCUACAUAUACCACCUUCUUGAAUCUCAAGGAGAUAAAAGCAUGAAAAGCAAGUAAAUCAA